AGGACGAACGCUGGCGGCGUGCUUAACACAUGCAAGUCGAGCGGAAAGGCCCUUCGGGGUACUCGAGCGGCGAACGGGUGAGUAACACGUGAGCAACCUGCCCUUAGCUUCGGGAUAGCUCCGGGAAACCGGAAUUAAUACCGAAUAUGACCAUGGCCGACAUCAGCCAUGGUGGAAAGUUUUUCGGCUAGGGAUGGACUCGCGGCCUAUCAGCUAGUUGGUGAGGUAACGGCCCACCAAGGCGACGACGGGUAGCCGGCCUGAGAGGGCGACCGGCCACACUGGGACUGAGACACGGCCCAGACUCCUACGGGAGGCAGCAGUGGGGAAUAUUGCGCAAUGGGCGAAAGCCUGACGCAGCGACGCCGCGUGGGGGAUGAAUGCCUUCGGGUUGUAAACCCCUUUCAGCAGGGACGAAGCGAAAGUGACGGUACCUGCAGAAGAAGCGCCGGCUAACGUACGUGCCAGCAGCCGC
rnacentral:rRNA from 1 species